UGGGGGAUAUUGCACAAUGGGCGAAAGCCUGAUGCAGCGACGCCACGUGGGGGAUGAAGGCCUUCGGGUUGUAAACUUCUUUUGCUCUGAACAAGGCGCACCAUGGGGUGUGUUGAGUGUAGGGGUUGAUUAGCGCCGGCUAACUACGUGCCAGCAGCCGCGGUAAUACGUAGGGCGCGAGCGUUGUCCGGAAUUAUUGGGCGUAAAGGGCUUGUAGGUGGCUGGUUGCGUCUGUCGUGAAAGCUCAUGGCUUAACUGUGGGUUUGCGGUGGGUACGGGCUGGCUUGAGUGCAGUAGGGGAGGCUGGAAUUCCUGGUGUAGCGGUGGAAUGCGCAGAUAUCAGGAGGAAUACCGGUGGCGAAGGCGGCCCCCUGGACAAAGACUGACGCUCAGGUGCGAAAGCGUGGGGAGCAAACAGG
rnacentral:rRNA from 1 species